rnacentral:rRNA from 1 species
CAGGCUUAACACAUGCAAGUCGAGGGGCAGCAUGGUCUUAGCUUGCUAAGGCCGAUGGCGACCGGCGCACGGGUGAGUAACACGUAUCCAACCUGCCGUCUACUCUUGGACAGCCUUCUGAAAGGAAGAUUAAUACAAGAUGGCAUCAUGAGUCCGCAUGUUCACAUGAUUAAAGGUAUUCCGGUAGACGAUGGGGAUGCGUUCCAUUAGAUAGUAGGCGGGGUAACGGCCCACCUAGUCUUCGAUGGAUAGGGGUUCUGAGAGGAAGGUCCCCCACAUUGGAACUGAGACACGGUCCAAACUCCUACGGGAGGCAGCAGUGAGGAAUAUUGGUCAAUGGGCGAGAGCCUGAACCAGCCAAGUAGCGUGAAGGAUGACUGCCCUAUGGGUUGUAAACUUCUUUUAUAAAGGAAUAAAGUCGGGUAUGCAUACCCGUUUGCAUGUACUUUAUGAAUAAGGAUCGGCUAACUCCGUGCCAGCAGCCGCGGUAAUACGGAGGAUCCGAGCGUUAUCCGGAUUUAUUGGGUUUAAAGGGAGCGUAGAUGGAUGUUUAAGUCAGUUGUGAAAGUUUGCGGCUCAACCGUAAAAUUGCAGUUGAUACUGGAUAUCUUGAGUGCAGUUGAGGCAGGCGGAAUUCGUGGUGUAGCGGUGAAAUGCUUAGAUAUCACGAAGAACUCCGAUUGCGAAGGCAGCCUGCUAAGCUGCAACUGACAUUGAGGCUCGAAAGUGUGGGUAUCAAACAGGAUUAGAUACCCUGGUAGUCCACACGGUAAACGAUGAAUACUCGCUGUUUGCGAUAUACUGCAAGCGGCCAAGCGAAAGCGUUAAGUAUUCCACCUGGGGAGUACGCCGGCAACGGUGAAACUCAAAGGAAUUGACGGGGGCCCGCACAAGCGGAGGAACAUGUGGUUUAAUUCGAUGAUACGCGAGGAACCUUACCCGGGCUUAAAUUGCAGAUGAAUUACGGUGAAAGCCGUAAGCCGCAAGGCAUCUGUGAAGGUGCUGCAUGGUUGUCGUCAGCUCGUGCCGUGAGGUGUCGGCUUAAGUGCCAUAACGAGCGCAACCCUUGUUGUCAGUUACUAACAGGUUCCGCUGAGGACUCUGACAAGACUGCCAUCGUAAGAUGUGAGGAAGGUGGGGAUGACGUCAAAUCAGCACGGCCCUUACGUCCGGGGCUACACACGUGUUACAAUGGGGGGUACAGAGGGCCGCUACCACGCGAGUGGAUGCCAAUCCCCAAAACCUCUCUCAGUUCGGACUGGAGUCUGCAACCCGACUCCACGAAGCUGGAUUCGCUAGUAAUCGCGCAUCAGCCACGGCGCGGUGAAUACGUUCCCGGGCCUUGUACACACCGCCCGUCAAGCCAUGGGAGCCGGGGGUACCUGAAGUGCGUAACCGCGAGGAGCGCCCUAGGGUAAAACUGGUGACUGGGGCUAAGUAGUAA